rnacentral:rRNA from 1 species
UACGAAGGGGACUAGCGUUGUUCGGAAUUACUGGGCGUAAAGCGCACGUAGGCGGACUACUAAGUCAGGGGUGAAAUCCUGGAGCUCAACUCCAGAACUGCCUUUGAUACUGAGGAUCUUGAGUACGGGAGAGGUGAGUGGAACUGCGAGUGUAGAGGUGAAAUUCGUAGAUAUUCGCAAGAACACCAGUGGCGAAGGCGGCUCACUGGCCCGUAACUGACGCUGAGGCACGAAAGCGUGGGGAGCAAACAGG